UACGUAGGGUGCAAGCGUUGUCCGGAAUUAUUGGGCGUAAAGAGCUCGUAGGCGGCUUGUCGCGUCGUCCGUGAAAACUUGGGGCUCAACCCCAAGCUUGCGGUCGAUACGGGCAGGCUAGAGGUAGGUAGGGGAGAUCGGAAUUCCUGGUGUAGCGGUGAAAUGCGCAGAUAUCAGGAGGAACACCGGUGGCGAAGGCGGAUCUCUGGGCCUUACCUGACGCUCAGGUGCGAAAGCUAGGGGAGCGAACAGG
rnacentral:rRNA from 1 species